rnacentral:lncRNA from 1 species
GUCUUUACCUGUGACUCUUGUAUAGUCAAGCCAUACUCUCAUGUCUCUGGUUUGCUGGCAAGUAAGGAGUGUUAGGAUUUUAGGAAAUGAAUUUUUAACAUCUGUCAAGCUGUUCAAAUGACUUUUCUCUAUCAUGACUUAAGAUGACUUAAGAUGUAGUUAAAUGCUCCUUCUGUUUCCCCAAAACCCUGAUGUAGUCACCGUACUUUGUUAUUCUUUUAAUAUACACCUCCCUUUGAAGUUAACAGUGGUUACUCAUGAUUGGUUGGUCUUUGGUACAUUUUUACUUAUUUGUGCUUUCAGAUUUUUUCUACAAAAGUUGCCUAUUACUUGUAUAAUAAAAUUAAGAGCUUUACAAUGAGAAAAGACUUCUUGAUUUUAUCAGUUCCUUUUAUUUUAGAAUUCCAUAUCUCAUUAAUACGAUGCAUAAUUGUGAUUUUUCUGCUGUCCUUGUCAGGUGUUUUUAUGUGAAUCUCCUUUAAAAUGUAUCUUGGGCCACUUUCUAUCUCUUUUUCUAUGCCCUGGAACAGUUCAAGUAACAUUCAGAACUUCUCGCUCUUUGAAGUUUUUAUAACCUGUAUACAACUGUCCAAGUCUAGUGCCUUUUAAAGAAAUAAUUCUUCCAUAAUUUUAAAUCGUUUUCCAUAUUCAUGGGUCUCUUUGAAGUUGCUUCUUACUCUGUAAGAUUUCUGACAACUUAACUUGUACUAACUGAUGAUUGUCUAAGGUUUUUGGGAUAUGCUGAUGUCGAAUUGUAUGAUUUUUUUCCCCUUAGUGUUGUAUGUCUCUGCUUCCCAUUUUAUUCUGACUAGGUUUUCAAUAAGUAGUCGAUUUUUAAUCAUCUUUUCAAAAACACAGCGUUGGAGUUUAUACGCACAUCUCCAGUUUUACCUUUUUAUGACUGUUGUUUUUCCCUUGGUAUUUUUCCAGCUUUUCAAGUUAAAGGCCAUCUUGACUUCUUACGCAGGGAAAGGCACAGUAACUCCUGUUGUAAGCCUGUGACCUUUCCUCGAAGUACAUCUGUAUCCCAUAAAUGUUUACGUGUGAUGUGAUUGUUAUAAAUAACUUACCACUUCAGGUUGGGGUUUAUCUUUUACUGAGGAGUUAUUUUAAAUUAUACUUUUAGAUUUCCCAAUCAUUCGUCUUCGUUGCUGUUACUUUUAACAUUUAUUACAGACUGCGUUUUUACCUCGUUGUCAAGGAGGGUAAGGCCUGCACACAGUGUGCUUUGGAGUUCAUUAACAUUUUGUUGAGACCUAGUAGGUUUUCAGUUUUAGUGAGAUACCCAGGAAGUUAGAGAAGGUAUAUGCUUUUAAGCAACAAUAUUUGAUCUAUGUAUGAUAAUUUGACCUUACUAAAUACACUCUUGUGGACCUUUAACUUUUAUUUUAACUCAUUAACGACUAAGGCUUGUCCCAUUACCACUGUAUGUCUGUCCUUUCCUCAUGUACCUAACAGUUUCUGCUUGUGUAUUUCUGUUUCCAUAGAAAAAUGACCCUUUUAUAUUUAAGGAAAAAGUUGUUUUCCUAAAGACUUGUGUCCCUUGGCUUUGAUGUAAUAGAGUUGUUUAUGUAUAAAUCCAUGGCUCGGUGAAA